GACGAACGCUGGCGGCGUGCUUAACACAUGCAAGUCGAACGGAAAGGCCCUGCUUUUGUGGGGUGCUCGAGUGGCGAACGGGUGAGUAACACGUGAGUAACCUGCCCUUGACUUUGGGAUAACUUCAGGAAACUGGGGCUAAUACCGGAUAAGAGCUCCUGCUGCAUGGUGGGGGUUGGAAAGUUUCGACGGUUGGGGAUGGACUCGCGGCUUAUCAGCUUGUUGGUGGGGUAGUGGCUUACCAAGGCUUUGACGGGUAGCCGGCCUGAGAGGGUGACCGGCCACAUUGGGACUGAGAUACGGCCCAGACUCCUACGGGAGGCAGCAGUGGGGAAUAUUGCACAAUGGGCGGAAGCCUGAUGCAGCAACGCCGCGUGCGGGAUGACGGCCUUCGGGUUGUAAACCGCUUUCGCCUGUGACGAAGCGUGAGUGACGGUAAUGGGUAAAGAAGCACCGGCUAACUACGUG
rnacentral:rRNA from 1 species